UACGAAGGGGGCUAGCGUUGCUCGGAAUUACUGGGCGUAAAGCGCACGUAGGCGGCUUCUUAAGUCGGUGGUGAAAUCCUGGAGCUCAACUCCAGAACUGCCUUCGAUACUGGGGACGCUCGGAGUCCGGGAGAGGUGAGUGGGAACUGCGAGUGUAGAGGUGAAAUUCGUAGAUAUUCGCAAGAACACCAGUGGCGAAGGCGGACUCACUGGCCCG
rnacentral:rRNA from 1 species